AACGAACGCUGGCGGCAUGCCUAACACAUGCAAGUCGAACGAGACCUCCCUGCUUUUUUGCGCACGGGUGCGUAACGCCUGGUAACCUGCCCUUAAGUUAGGAAUACCUCCCCGAAGGUUGUCCUCAUACCGCUUAAUCUCUUCGCACCUAAGAUUUAUUGCCUUUGGAUGGGCCCGCGUUGGAUUCGCUGGUUGGUAGGGUACAAGCCUACCAAGGCGUCGAUCCUUAGCUGGUCUGAGAGGAUGAUCAGCCACACUGGAGAUGAGACACGGACCAGACUGCUAGGGAAGGGAGGAGAGGAGAAUAUUGGAGGAGGGGGGAAAGCCUGAUCAAGCAAUGCCGGGGGAGUGAUGAAGGGGGUAGGGUUGUAAAGCUCUUUUACACGAGAUGAUAAUGACAGUACCGGGAGAAUAAGCUCCGGCUAACUACGUG
rnacentral:rRNA from 1 species